rnacentral:lncRNA from 1 species
AGCAUGAACUCACAUGCUCUGUAGUGUUAUCAGAGAUAGUAAGAGUUACUGUUAAAAUAUACCAGAAUCCUCUUUAAAGCUUAAUCGCCAUGGGAAACGGGAACUGCACAGACGGUUUUCUAUUUAAGGGUGUGCCCAAACAAAUGGAAGUGGUGACCCUGGUGUUGCUCGGCUCAGUGAUGGUCCUGUCAAUCUCCUGCAAUAUUUAUUUCUGCAUGUUAAGGUGCAGGUCAGGUAAUGAUAUUAUUUAUUAUUCAACACCUAUAAGAACAUUUUAAUUUUCUGUCAAAGAUACAUUGUAUUUUAUGCUAUAACAGGAAGAGUGAAAUCUCAAUCGAGGACGAGAGAACGGUAUGUUCACAUGCAAUCAAAACAAAUGGAAAAAACAUCAUCAACAUGUUUUUUUGACUGGUGCAUGAUUUUUUUUCUUUAUCUCGAAUUCUAGUGUGAGCUCCAGGCAUAUGGAAGAAAAUCCCAUUUAUGGAAAUGUAAACUACAUGCAAACCAGUGAAUCACAAGAUGCUCCUCACUCAUCAAUCGGCUCUUCACCUUUGAGGGAUCAACAGAGAGUCACUUCUGACUCGCAGUCCAAAAAUCAGGACUGCUACGCCAACCUGACCCUGAAGGCUCCAAGGCUGCAGUCUGGCCACAGCUCUCCACAGAUUCAGUACUCUGAUGUUGUGCAUAUAGAGGAACCAGUGGAGUCAGAGAAGGAAGAUGAAGGGAACACAGACGCUGUGUCCACCAUGUCUGAUCUGUACGCCUCAGUGCAAACGCAGCGAGCCAAGACUGUCAACACUGCAGACGGCUCAGAGGGCUAUGCCAACCAUCUCUGAGAUAAGCUGGUGACACACUGUGAAUGCUGUUAUCAAUGCACCACAGGGUGGCACUAUUUGUCACCAUAUGAAGAUGUGACACAGUACACUCCUCCACUGAAUGUGCAUGUAGCUAGUGUUAAUAGAUAAUGUGCAUUAUUGUGCCUUAUUAUGCCUAACAUAUAUUGUACACAAAUCUCACUCUUGUUGCAAUUUACUGUGGUAUAUGCUUAAAUAAUUAUUGAUUAUUCAAGGUCAGC